UUUGACUCUCACGGAAAUGACAUCACGGGCGACUACAUGGAAGUGAUUCAGAAUGUUACCAGCAGUCUGAAACAAAGACACCCUGACUUUAUAGGGGUGAAGGUCAUCAUAGCAGGUCGCAGGUCACUACCACGUCAAGAGCCAAUGGUGAACAGAACUCUGGCUCUAAUGAAAAGGUUUCCUGGUCUAGUCAUUGGAUUCGAUCUUCUACAACAGGAGGACAACACGCACGUUACUGUUGACUACAUUGACGAUUUGAUGAAAAAUGGGCCACUCUGUUCUACCAUAUUUUUUUCACGCUGGGGAAACUGACUGGACCCAGUGGGUGGACCUGAAUCUCGUAGACUCUGUCCUGCUGAAUGCCAGUCGUAUCGGACAUGGUUUCGCUGCCUAUCAUCACCCUAAAGUGUUGGAGGCGGUCAUGAAGAAAGGAAUCGCCAUUGAACUGAACCCUGUGUCUAACCAGG
rnacentral:sRNA from 1 species